AUGGCCAGUGAUGAGGACUUCUUCCACUAAUGUUUGAGUUUCCCAACCAUGACAUGACUUCACAUGCACUACUAUCUGAGACAGC
ensembl:snoRNA SNORD33 Small nucleolar RNA Z195/SNORD33/SNORD32 family